rnacentral:rRNA from 1 species
GAUGAACGCUGGCGGCGUGCCUAAUACAUGCAAGUCGAGCGAACAGACGAGGAGCUUGCUCCUCUGACGUUAGCGGCGGACGGGUGAGUAACACGUGGAUAACCUACCUAUAAGACUGGGAUAACUUCGGGAAACCGGAGCUAAUACCGGAUAAUAUAUUGAACCGCAUGGUUCAACAGUGAAAGACGGUUUUGCUGUCACCUAUAGAUGGAUCCGCGCCGCAUUAGCUAGUUGGUAAGGUAACGGCUUACCAAGGCAACGAUGCGUAGCCGACCUGAGAGGGUGAUCGGCCACACUGGAACUGAGACACGGUCCAGACUCCUACGGGAGGCAGCAGUAGGGAAUCUUCCGCAAUGGGCGAAAGCCUGACGGAGCAACGCCGCGUGAGUGAUGAAGGUCUUCGGAUCGUAAAACUCUGUUAUUAGGGAAGAACAAAUGUGUAAGUAACUAUGCACGUCUUGACGGUACCUAAUCAGAAAGCCACGGCUAACUACGUG